GACGAACGCUGGCGGCGUGCCUAAUACAUGCAGGUCGAGCGCAGGAAACUGACGGAACUCUUCGGAGGGAAGGCAGUGGAAUGAGCGGCGGACGGGUGAGUAACACGUAAGGAACCUGCCUCAAGGAUUGGGAUAACUCCGAGAAAUCGGAGCUAAUACCGGAUAGUUCAACGGACCGCAUGGUCCGCUGAUGAAAGGCGCUCCGGCGUCACCUUGAGAUGGCCUUGCGGUGCAUUAGCUAGUUGGUGGGGUAACGGCCCACCAAGGCGACGAUGCAUAGCCGAACUGGGAGGGUGAUCGGCCACACUGGGACUGAGACACGGCCCAGACUCCUACGGGAGGCAGCAGUAGGGAAUCUUCCACAAUGGACGAAAGUCUGAUGGAGCAACGCCGCGUGAGUGAUGAAGGUUUUCGGAUCGUAAAACUCUGUUGUAAGGGAAGAACACGUACGAGAGGAAAUGCUCGUACCUUGACGGUACCUUACGAGAAAGCCACGGCUAACUACGUGCCAGCAGCCGCAGUAAUAC
rnacentral:rRNA from 1 species